rnacentral:rRNA from 1 species
AUGGUACAUGGCAAGCAUCUGCCGGAACUAGAGGCGAGAACUUUUCAAUCAAUUACGAGAGGCAUUCGCUUCUCUGAGGUGAGGGGUACGAUUGUGGAAGAUCCCGUGGAGGCAGGGGUUGGAGAUGUGAUGCAAGGGUGCGGGGAAUUGGGUGGAAGGACAGUUGUUAAUGUGGAGUCAGGACGGGCGUGA